rnacentral:rRNA from 1 species
AGUAGGAAUCGCUAGUAAUCGCAGGUCAGCAUACUGCGGUGAAUACGUUCCCGGGCCUUGUACACACCGCCCGUCACACCAUGGAAGUUGGCCACGCCCGAAGUCGUUACUUUAACCCUUGUGGAGAAGGACGCCGAAGGUGGGGCUGAUGACUGGGGUGAAGUCGUAACAAGGUAGCCGUACCGGAAGGUGCGGCUGGAUCACCUCCUAA